rnacentral:lncRNA from 1 species
CUCUCUCUCUCUCUCUCUCUCUCUGCUUACUAGCUCCUAUCUCGGUUGCCUCCUCCUUGACGGUUGCUGGCUGCAGCCCUGUAGCUUGUUCGCUGCUGAUUCCAGCCAUCAUCGUCCUCCUUUUAGCUACCUAGCUAUGUUCUAUAACUUGUUGGCUGCUGCAAUGGCUGCUCUCCUUCUUGUGGAUUUUGAUCUUUGGAUGUUUUAGUACAAAAAACAGGUUUCAUGAUACUAGAUAUGGUAGAAAGAAAUAAUCUAUGUGAGAUAUAUGGGCAUGCUUAUUUAUGCAUAUGAUUAAAUCUAUGCAUAUUUAAAAGCUUGGAGCGCUAUCCUCCCUAGACGGCUGCUUAGGCCGUAUAGGGAGUCCACUGAUUAGCCUCGCCUCAGCAGUUGGACAGGUAUCUUGACAAUUCAUUCAUAUAUCAUUUUGCAAUAAUCAUAGUAAACUAAUUCAGAGUACUUGGUAAUAUGCAUAUCUGGAAGAAAAGUCAUAAAGAAGGCAUAAAUGGUCAUUGCAUGCAAAUACCAACAAGGCAAGCAAACACAUCCAACAAAUUUGACAAUGUAACUAAAGAAAGACCAAAAUGAGUUACUUGCAACUACUCGAAGUGGAAAUCCUUGACCUCAUGAUUGCAAACAAUAUUCUCGAAUGUACUACAGGGUCAACCUUUAGUCAUAUUAACAGUUUAAGCAGCCCAAAUGAUAGUCCAACAUGUGGCAACACUUUCAAAUGAUGACUAUAAAAAGGAAUUUAUUAGGAAAUGCAAAAUAUAAGCAUGAUGCAGUCUUAAGGAACUAUUUUUGAAAAAUUAAUUUGAUUCAAAUUUCCUGGUACUAGGAGCACAAGGGGAACGUACAUAAAAAAACAUGGGAAACCAUGGAAAAACAGAACUGCCUAUCAAUCA